rnacentral:piRNA from 1 species
UGCCUUAGCCACUUGUUGGUUCAUGGU